CUUGGUUGGAAGCAUUAGCUUGCUUCCAAGGAACCUGUUAGAGGUGGGUCAGUUGUCCUGUGUUGGCUGGAACAAUCCUGGGAUGCAAAUCCUUUUUUGACAUCUUCAGACACUGUUUUCUUCCAGGUCUUACAAGCUGUAGGCUGCAUAGCCUAUUCCUGCCUUUACGACCUUGCAUGCUCCAUGGGUGAAAAGUCCAUCUCUCCAGGCUUGUUGCUCUAUACCACCUCAUUUGACAGCUUUUGUCUAUCGCGUGCACAGCUCGAGGAGCGUGAAUGCGAACAGCGGCGGAAGGUGCCGAACACGCCUGUCCUGGGCUUUCACCACCUCCCUCUCGGGCUGGAAGAUGCUAUAUCCCAGUAAAACAUACAGUUUUAUGGUGCUGAAAUGCCAGAAGGACUUGGAGUGACUUUCACCAAGCCACCUGAAAACUAGGUCAGUGGCUAUACAUCUUGAAGAGAACUGCAGUGCUACAGCAGAAACUGAGUUAAUCCUGAUGUAUAUGAUGAAUGU